rnacentral:rRNA from 1 species
AAUAGAUACCCCGGUAGUCCACGCCGUAAACGAUGGAUGCUAGCCGUCGGCAAGCUUGCUUGUCGGUGGCGCAGCUAACGCAUUAAGCAUCCCGCCUGGGGAGUACGGCCGCAAGGUUAAAACUCAAAGGAAUUGACGGGGGCCCGCACAAGCGGUGGAGCAUGUGGUUUAAUUCGACGCAACGCGAAGAACCUUACCAGCUCUUGACAUGUCCGGUCGGUUUCCAGAGAUGGAUUCCUCCUAGCAAUAGGCCGGAACACAGGUGCUGCAUGGCUGUCGUCAGCUCGUGCCGUGAGAUGUUGGGUUAAGUCCCGCAACGGGCGCAACCCUCGCCAUUAGUUGCCAUCAUUCAGUUGGGCACUCUAGUGGGACUGCCGGUGAUAAGCCGGAGGAAGGUGGGGAUGACGUCAAGUCAUCAUGGCCCCUUACGGGGCUGGGCUACACACGUGCUACAAUGGCGGUGACAAUGGGCAGCAACUCAGCAAUGGGGAGCUAAUCUCAAAAAGCCGUCUCAGGUUC